GGAGGAGCUGCGCUUCUGUAUUUAGUAAAGACUCGCAGUUCCAACAUGUAACAGCUAAAUUUACCUGUUACGUGUUGGAACUGUGAGUCCCCUCGUUACAUUCAUUACAGUCUCCGGUUUUUUUCUUCAUCUUUGUACCGUGACAUGUCCUCGGAUGACUUUUCAUUCGCUGGCUGUUGUAAUGUGAUGUAAGUGGAGCUGCGCGGCGGUGAAAAUCCCCUUCGCCCACUGAUGUGGUUCUGUUUCGGUUUUCCUUCCUCUCAGACGCUCCUCCUGGCUUGGCCGCAUCGCUACAUGUCACCUGAUUUCAAGAGGAAACUGGCACCUGAAUUAAAGGGACUAACUAGCUGGUUAAGUUGCGACACAUGCCCUUACUAAACCGGAUGGUAAAACCGUAUAAAGAAGAUCAGUCGUAAAAAGGGGAACCGAGAACGGGGCUGUCGACACUGAGCCUCCUUCCCCCAGACGUGGAAAAAGCUAGCCGAAGCUUCCGUGUAAACUGGGCUUUGGGCUUCCUCCAGCCGUGAUGUCGGACACGGACGGUUCUCUUCCUCUGCUGAAGAGGCUCAGCUAUGCGGUGGGGCACUUUCUCAAUGACCUGUGUGCCUCCAUGUGGUUCACAUAUCUGCUCGUUUUCUACCAUUCGGUGCUGGGAUUCCAAAACACGAGUGCAGGUGUGCUUUUGCUGGUCGGGCAGAUAGCUGAUGGUAUCUGUACGCCUCUUAUUGGCUACGAGUCCGACCGAAGCCCCGGCUGUAGAAACUACGGCAAGAGGAAGACGUGGCAUUUAGUUGGUACACUGAGCGUAGUGCUUUCCUUUGCCUUCAUCUUUAACCAGUGUGUGGGCUGCAGCUCCCUCACCCCUCAGUGGGCCAGUUUAAUCUACUUCGUCCCAUUCAUCAUCAUCUUUCAGUUCGGCUGGGCCGCCACGCAGAUCUCUCACCUGUCCCUCAUUCCAGAGCUGGUCACUUGUGAGCAUGCUAAAGUAGAGCUCACCGCGUACAGGUAUGCGUUCACAGUGAUCGCCAACAUCACCGUGUAUGGAGUGGCUUACCUGCUGUUUCACGUCCAGGCUGGAGAGGAUGAAGACCCUAAUUCACUAGGACCAGCAGAUAUCACCAUCUUCAGGAAUCUGUCACUAAUUGUUUUGGGGAUCGGUGUCGUCUUCUCCGUCGUUUUCCACGUGGGAACAAAAGAGAACAAUGGAACAAGCGAGGAGUCGGUGGAGGCAGAGGGGGAGCGGAGGCCACUGCUGCCGCGCUCCAACACCUUCUCGUCUCUCCUGCAGUGGAAAUGCUGGCUGCGACAGCCUUCUUUCUACCAGGUGGCCGUACUCUACAUGUCCACCAGGCUGAUCGUCAACCUGUCUCAGACGUACAUCUCCAUGUAUCUCAUCAACACUCUGGGGCUGCCAAAGAAGUUCAUAGCUACCAUCCCAUUGGUGAUGUACGUGAGCGGCUUCCUGUCCUCCUUCAUCAUGAAGCCUGUCAGCAAACUCAUUGGGAAAUGUCUUACAUACUUCGUUGGCCUGCUGCUGAUCAUGGCGUUCUCGUAUUGGGUGCUGCUGGACGUCACCAUGGGUCAGCAGGUGUACGGGGCGGCCGUGCUGCUGGGGGCCGGGUCCGCCACCAUCCUGGUCAUAUCGCUCGCCAUGACCGCGGAGCUCAUCGCAGAUCAGACGCAAAGCGGAGCGUUCGUGUACGGAGCCAUGAGCUUCACUGACAAGGUGGCCAAUGGACUGGCAGUGAUGAUCAUUCAGGCCCUGCAUCCCUGCCAUAAACCCUUCUGUGUGUGUGUGUGUGUGUGUGUGUGUGUGUGUGUGUGUGUGUGUGUGUGUGUGUCAGCACUGUGGUGUGCUGUCCUGCCUGUGUGUGGUUCUACCAUUACGUCAUGGUCAUUGUAACGGGAGGUGUUUCCAUCGUCGCAGCUUUGGCCCUUUGCUCCAUCCUCAUCUGGCCAAUCAAGAUCAGAGGGCGUGCUUUGCCAAUCAUCUCCAGUGAAGCAAAUGGAAUCAACUGACCGGGCUCCUCCCACACAUCAUCUCACCACGGGGAACUUCCUGUUUCAGGGAAACGGCAGUUUCCUGUGGGAUUUCCUGCCUCGCUGCUGAAACCAAGAAGCCUUUCUGUUUUUAAACUGAGAUUUGCAUCCUUUUAUAACCUUGUUUUGUCUUCAUUUUCCAACAAAACUCGAUCUAAAAUCCAGGCUGAUGUCGGACUACAGGCCAGCAAACACCUGCACACCUCCACCUGCACUGAUUUAAAGAAUUGAAUCACACAAUAAGCUAUUUUGUAAUGAAUUUGUUCUGAUGAUAUAUUUUGAACUUUCCUCAUGAUCAAAGCAUCGAGACAGUAAACCGGACCGUCUGCUAGUCGUUGGGUUUGCAGUCUGUUAGCUGCUUUGUGGGCUCACACUGUUAGAUUAGUGUAACAGUGCUGGAGGCCACAAAGCCGGCACAUGUCACAGGGCAUCGUCUCCAAGCUGCUGCAGCCUGAGCACAGUGGCUGCAGCCUGAUUUCCUUUCACCUCUGCCCCCCUCAUCAUUCUCACUGUGCACAUGCUGCUCUGCAGCACUUAUUUCCUUUUACUACACAGGGUCAGCCUGAAAUUCCCUAAAUGUGAAUGAAGCCACUACACAGAGUUUGGAAAAUGAUGAGAAAACAGUUGUGCUCCUUAAAUAGACAUCAAACAUGUUGUUUCACACGUGCACUGUGCAGGAGAGCAGGGCUGGCUGCAUGUCGCAUUAAUGUCCUGGAUGACAAAGGGAACAGAGUCCCUGCUCGGAGGAGGACGAAGGGAACCAGAGGAGGAGGAUGUGAACAUGAAUGAUGUUCAGUGUCCUCAGCAGUAAAAUCUUCCCCAGGUUUCACUAAGAGUCAUUCCACUAUCUCUCCCCCCUCCCUCCCCCUCUCAUAAACUGAUAAGCCACUACAAUUGGACACACGAAGGCCGUCUGUACAGCGUGCAGGCUGAUGGUGAGGAGGAUGAUGCACAGACGACACUAAUACAAGCGUUUACCUCGAAGACGUUUGACUGGACUCGCUCAGUGACGCCUCAGUCAGAGGAAGUCCCUGCUGAGCUUCACUGGCUUAUUUCUAUUUGUGCUGUCCUGGAUUUUGUCCCUCAUGAAAUGACUGUUAUGUAAACUGGAAUCAAAUGGAAGGUGAAUCACACGUUUGUAAUUAAUGAGCAGAGCUGUGUCUGAUAUUUAAACGCUUCAAAGGGAUCAAAAGCUCUAAUCUGUGUAUUUGAUGUGUACAUAAAGGGAACAUGGUGUUGGACCAGAGCUGUGUUGUAAUGAUCAGCCUUCAUGUCCAGCAGGAGAACUUUGUUUACUUUGUCUCUUCUACCUGUGUGAUAACUCCCUUAUUAAACGGGAUUCAUUUCUCUA